rnacentral:rRNA from 1 species
GACGAACGCUGGCGGCGUGCUUAACACAUGCAAGUCGAACGGAAAGGCCCCCUUGUGGGGUACUCGAGUGGCGAACGGGUGAGUAACACGUGAGUAACCUACCCUUGACUUUGGGAUAACUUCAGGAAACUGGGGCUAAUACCGGAUAGGAGCUCCUGCUGCAUGGUGGGGGUUGGAAAGUUUCGGCGGUUGGGGAUGGACUCGCGGCUUAUCAGCUUGUUGGUGGGGUAGUGGCUCACCAAGGCUUUGACGGGUAGCCGGCCUGAGAGGGUGACCGGCCACAUUGGGACUGAGAUACGGCCCAGACUCCUACGGGGGGCAGCAGUGGGGAAUAUUGCACAAUGGGCGGAAGCCUGAUGCAGCAACGCCACGUGCGGGAUGACGGCCUUCGGGUUGUAAACCGCUUUCGCCUGUGACGAAGCGUGAGUGACGGUAAUGGGUAAAGAAGCACCGGCUAACUACGUG